rnacentral:rRNA from 1 species
UACGAAGGGGGCUAGCGUUGCUCGGAAUCACUGGGCGUAAAGCGCACGUAGGCGGCUUGUUAAGUCAGGGGUGAAAUCCUGGAGCUCAACUCCAGAACUGCCUUUGAUACUGUAGGGCUUGAGUGUAGUCGAGGUAGGCGGAAUUGACGGUGUAGCGGUGAAAUGCUUAGAUAUCGUCAAGAACACCGAUAGUGUAGACAGCUUACUAGGCUACAACUGACGCUGAGGCACGAAAGUGUGGGGAUCAAACAGG